rnacentral:rRNA from 1 species
GGGUUGUGAGGUUAAGCGACUAAGCGUACACGGUGGAUGCCCUGGCAGUCAGAGGCGAUGAAGGACGUGCUAAUCUGCGAAAAGCGUCGGUAAGGUGAUAUGAACCGUUAUAACCGGCGAUGUCCGAAUGGGGAAACCCAGUGCAAUUCGUUGCACUAUCGUUAACUGAAUACAUAGGUUAACGAGGCGAACCGGGGGAACUGAAACAUCUAAGUACCCCGAGGAAAAAGAAAUCAACCGAGAUUCCCCCAGUAGCGGCGAGCGAACGGGGAGCAGCCCAGAGUCUGAAUCAGCUUGUGUGUUAGUGGAACGGUCUGGAAAGUCCGACGGUACAGGGUGAUAGUCCCGUACACCAAAAUGCACAGGCUGUGAACUCGAAGAGUAGGGCGGGACACGUGGUAUCCUGUCUGAAUAUGGGGGGACCAUCCUCCAAGGCUAAAUACUCCUGACUGACCGAUAGUGAACCAGUACCGUGAGGGAAAGGCGAAAAGAACCCCGGCGAGGGGAGUGAAAAAGAACCUGAAACCGUGUACGUACAAGCAGUGGGAGCACCUUCGGGUGUGACUGCGUACCUUUUGUAUAAUGGGUCAGCGACUUAUAUUCUGUAGCAAGGUUAACCGUAUAGGGGAGCCGCAGGGAAACCGAGUCUUAACUGGGCGUUAAGUUGCAGGGUAUAGACCCGAAACCCGGUGAUCUAGCCAUGGGCAGGUUGAAGGUUGGGUAACACUAACUGGAGGACCGAACCGACUAAUGUUGAAAAAUUAGCGGAUGACUUGUGGCUGGGGGUGAAAGGCCAAUCAAACCGGGAGAUAGCUGGUUCUCCCCGAAAGCUAUUUAGGUAGCGCCUCGUGAAUUCAUCUUCGGGGGUAGAGCACUGUUUCGGCUAGGGGGUCAUCCCGACUUACCAACCCGAUGCAAACUACGAAUACCGAAGAAUGUUAUCACGGGAGACACACGGCGGGUGCUAACGUCCGUCGUGAAGAGGGAAACAACCCAGACCGCCAGCUAAGGUCCCAAAGUCAUGGUUAAGUGGGAAACGAUGUGGGAAGGCACAGACAGCCAGGAUGUUGGCUUAGAAGCAGCCAUCAUUUAAAGAAAGCGUAAUAGCUCACUGGUCGAGUCGGCCUGCGCGGAAGAUGUAACGGGGCUAAACCAUGCACCGAAGCUGCGGCAGCGACACUAUGUGUUGUUGGGUAGGGGAGCGUUCUGUAAGCCUGCGAAGGUGACCUGUGAGGGUUGCUGGAGGUAUCAGAAGUGCGAAUGCUGACAUAAGUAACGAUAAAGCGGGUGAAAAGCCCGCUCGCCGGAAGACCAAGGGUUCCUGUCCAACGUUAAUCGGGGCAGGGUGAGUCGACCCCUAAGGCGAGGCCGAAAGGCGUAGUCGAUGGGAAACAGGUUAAUAUUCCUGUACUUGGUGUUACUGCGAAGGGGGGACGGAGAAGGCUAUGUUAGCCGGGCGACGGUUGUCCCGGUUUAAGCAUGUAGGCUGGUUAUCCAGGCAAAUCCGGAUAAUCAAGGCUGAGGUGUGAUGACGAGGCACUACGGUGCUGAAGUAACAAAUGCCCUGCUUCCAGGAAAAGCCUCUAAGCAUCAGGUAACAUCAAAUCGUACCCCAAACCGACACAGGUGGUCAGGUAGAGAAUACCAAGGCGCUUGAGAGAACUCGGGUGAAGGAACUAGGCAAAAUGGUGCCGUAACUUCGGGAGAAGGCACGCUGGUGUGUAGGUGAAGUCCCUGCGGAUGGAGCUGAGACCAGUCGAAGAUACCAGCUGGCUGCAACUGUUUAUUAAAAACACAGCACUGUGCAAACACGAAAGUGGACGUAUACGGUGUGACGCCUGCCCGGUGCCGGAAGGUUAAUUGAUGGGGUUAUCCGUAAGGAGAAGCUCUUGAUCGAAGCCCCGGUAAACGGCGGCCGUAACUAUAACGGUCCUAAGGUAGCGAAAUUCCUUGUCGGGUAAGUUCCGACCUGCACGAAUGGCGUAAUGAUGGCCAGGCUGUCUCCACCCGAGACUCAGUGAAAUUGAACUCGCUGUGAAGAUGCAGUGUACCCGCGGCAAGACGGAAAGACCCCGUGAACCUUUACUAUAGCUUGACACUGAACAUUGAGCCUUGAUGUGUAGGAUAGGUGGGAGGCUUUGAAGCGUGGACGCCAGUCUGCGUGGAGCCAACCUUGAAAUACCACCCUUUAAUGUUUGAUGUUCUAACGUUGGCCCCUUACCGGGGUUGCGGACAGUGUCUGGUGGGUAGUUUGACUGGGGCGGUCUCCUCCCAAAGCGUAACGGAGGAGCACGAAGGUUAGCUAAUCCUGGUCGGACAUCAGGAGGUUAGUGCAAUGGCAUAAGCUAGCUUGACUGCGAGCGUGACGGCGCGAGCAGGUGCGAAAGCAGGUCAUAGUGAUCCGGUGGUUCUGAAUGGAAGGGCCAUCGCUCAACGGAUAAAAGGUACUCCGGGGAUAACAGGCUGAUACCGCCCAAGAGUUCAUAUCGACGGCGGUGUUUGGCACCUCGAUGUCGGCUCAUCACAUCCUGGGGCUGAAGUAGGUCCCAAGGGUAUGGCUGUUCGCCAUUUAAAGUGGUACGCGAGCUGGGUUUAGAACGUCGUGAGACAGUUCGGUCCCUAUCUGCCGUGGGCGCUGGAGAAUUGAGGGGGGCUGCUCCUAGUACGAGAGGACCGGAGUGGACGCAUCACUGGUGUUCGGGUUGUCAUGCCAAUGGCACUGCCCGGUAGCUAAAUGCGGAAGAGAUAAGUGCUGAAAGCAUCUAAGCACGAAACUUGCCCCGAGAUGAGUUCUCCCUGAGACUUUAAGUCUCCUGAAGGAACGUUAAAGACGACGUUGAUAGGCCGGGUGUGUAAGCGCAGCGAUGCGUUGAGCUAACCGGUACUAAUGAACCGUGAGGCUUAACCUUACAACGCCGAAG